UAUUUAGACACAUUUUAGAUGCCUGUUGUUUGUUAUUUGUACAGGAAAGUACAAGAGCGCACCCCUUUAGAUCCCUAAAUUGUGUACCAUAUUGGAUUAAUCUUCAUGCAUGGCUAUGCAACAAGCCUGCAGCUUACAAGUAGAUUACAAUAAAAGGUCAUAGUACAGAUACAUGAGCCUAGUGAUAUGCAAUCCAGAAGUUUGAUUGAGUAAGCUGAAAAUUUUCUGCAUGGCAUUACAUCACUCUGGAAUUGUGCCAAACAUAUUUCUCCAGGUUGACCUAUGAAACUAGAUUGUAACAAGACAUUAUGUGGACCUGGACACAGUGGACUUUUGGCAGUCAGCCAGACAAGAAAGAAGUUGUUUCCUGCGCCAAUAAACGUUUUACUUGUUCAGCUUACUAAAGGAUGGAGAUGAGAGAGAACAUUUACUGUGCGCUGACUCAUUACAUUCUGACAUGGAACCUAACACGAAGGCAAAGUCCAGACACACUUUGGAUAUAAUUCUGCUUGGUUUUUGGCCUAAAGGUGAAGUGAUGUGUAAAUACGAAGAGCAACAGUAUACCGACAAAUUCCGGGAUCCAGACGGGAGAAUAGUGUACAUGGUGAAGUCUUCUACUGACAUUUGUCUGGGCGUUAGACACUGGGGGCGUUAUUUCCACUUCAUAGGAAGCAAACGGAAGAAGCAGAGUCAGUACAUCCAUCUUUAUCAUCAUCUUUAGAAAUGAUGGAGUGAAACAACAUACAACUUUAUGCAGAUGACUGACAGAGGAGUUCUCUGCCUACGCCAUUAUUGAUAUGAUCAUUCCAUCUAGUCAUAUAAUGAUUGAAUAAACAAAAUGACCAUGGGGGAGAUUUACCAAAACCUUGUCCAGAGGAAAAGUUGACGAGAUGCCCAUAACAACUAAUCAGAUUGUUUCUUUCAUUUUUCAGAGUUUUUUUUUUU